rnacentral:rRNA from 1 species
UACAGGGGGUGCAAACGUUGCUCGGAAUUACUGGGCGUAAAGCGCACGUAGGCGGACUUUUAAGUCAGGGGUGAAAUCCCGGGGCUCAACCUCGGAAUUGCCUUCAAAACUGGAUAUCUUGAGUUCGGGAGAGGUGAGUGGAACUCCGAGUGUAGAGGUGAAAUUCGUAGAUAUUCGGAAGAACACCAGUGGCGAAGGCGACUCACUGGCCCGAUACUGACGCUGAGGCGCGAAAGCGUGGGGAGCAAACAGG